AACGCGAAGAACCUUACCAGCCCUUGACAUGGGGAGUUUGGGUCUCGGAGACGGGAUCCUUCAGUUCGGCUGGCUCCCACACAGGUGCUGCAUGGCUGUCGUCAGCUCGUGUCGUGAGAUGUUGGGUUAAAUCCCGCAACGAGCGCAACCCUCGCCCUUAGUUGCCAUCAGGUUAAGCUGGGCACUCUAGGGGAACUGCCGGUGACAAGCCGGAGGAAGGCGGGGAUGACGUCAAGUCCUCAUGGCCCUUAUGGGCUGGGCUACACACGUGCUACAAUGGCGGUGACAGUGGGCAGUGAUCCAGCAAUGGUGAGCUAAUCUCCAAAAGCCGUCUCAGUUCGGAUUGUCCUCUGCAACUCGAGGGCAUGAAGUUGGAAUCGCUAGUAAUCGUGGAUCAGCAUGCCACGGUGAAUACGUUCC
rnacentral:rRNA from 1 species